rnacentral:lncRNA from 1 species
UUCUCCUCCAGUGUGUUGUCCUCCCGGAUCCUCUUCACCUCCCGUCCGCCCUGCACCGCAGCGUCUAUGGACAGCGCCAGCAGCUCUCUCAGAUCCACGGUCCUCUUCUGGCGGAAAAAGGCGAGUCUGCUGGACAAAACCCCCGCGUACAGGUCAGGAAGACAGAAACGGUGGACUCAUCACGAGAGAGCGCCCUCUACCAACAACACAAACAUCUGCUGAGAAAAUGCUACCAAAAUAAAAUGC